CCAUAGCGUAUAUUAAAGUUGUUGCAGUUAAAAAGCUCGUAGUUGAAUUUUUGCUUGCCGCCGAUGUCGGAACUUCCGUACGUUCGGCGGCGUGCAUCCUUGGGUGGAACCUGUGUGGCAUUAGGUUGUCGUGCAGGGGAUGCUCAUCGUUUACUGUGAAAAAAUUAGAGUGUUCAAAGCAGGCUUACGCCGUUGAAUAUAUUAGCAUGGAAUAAUAAGAUAGGACCUUGGUACUAUUUUGUUGGUUUGCGCACCGAGGUAAUGAUUAACAGGGACAGUUGGGGGUAUUCGUAUUCCAUUGUCAGAGGUGAAAUUCUUGGAUUUCUGGAAGACGAACUACUGCGAAAGCAUUUACCAAGGAUGUUUUCAUUAA
rnacentral:rRNA from 1 species